rnacentral:rRNA from 1 species
CACGUAGGGCGCAAGCGUUGUCCGGAAUCAUUGGGCGUAAAGGGCGCGUAGGUGGCUUCUUAAGCGUGCGGUGAAAGCCUGGGGCUCAACCCCGGGUCGGCCGUGCGAACUGGGGGGGCUGGAGCACUGUAGAGGCAGGCGGAAUUCCGGGUGUAGCGGUGGAAUGCGUAGAGAUCCGGAAGAACACCGGUGGCGAAGGCGGCCUGCUGGGCAGUUGCUGGACACUGAGGUGCGAAAGCGUGGGAGCAAACGAGGAUU